rnacentral:misc_RNA from 1 species
AAGUCGUAACAAGGUUUCCGUAGGUGAACCUGCGGAAGGAUCAUUAACACGUAUCCACGUACCAACCAAUCGUGACACAUGUUUUCAACUCUCCCGAACUGUAGAAACUGGAUGGACUUGAGAGGUUGAGUGGGAUUCGAACGAAUCACUCGCAAGCUCCUAUUUGUAUUCUCACGAAUACUUACAAUUUCAACAGAUCGGCUUUUUUCUUUCAAUGGAAGCUCCAUUCAAGCUUCUAUUGUUAGAAUCUACGAACCAUUUUCACCUUAUUUUUGCUAGUUGACUUUUAUCUUGUGUAACUCUUCAUUGAGCUAUACACGUUUAUUAAUUAAACGUUAAAAUUACAACUCUUAGCAAUGGAUAUCUUGGUUCUC